GGCAGAUCUAUUUGUUACCACUUGUAAUUUUUUUUUAAUUUGAAAUAUGAGUUUUCUCCAUGGACGGGAAUUAUAAAAUUACUUACUUAUAAACCACAGCUCCCCUAAAACUAUAUCUGUUAAAGCUAGUUUUAGUAAGAGUGGAUUACCUUUAAUUGGUGGACAAACAAGAACAAUAAAUAAGAGAAAACAUGUUACAAUUUGGAAAAUGGUUUUAAAAUGCUAUAAAGUUUUUAUAAUAAUAAUUUCGUGGCUAUCACAUUUUAGUCUAUCAUAUGAAGAUGAUAACCCUAAAAAUAGAAAUUGACUCUGCAGCGUCAGGAGGAACAGUCUAGAUCUACUGAGGUUUUUGAAAUUUCCUAUGUAUGUACGUUGACAGUGGUUCUGAAAAUUUUUUACUACCAUCACUAUUAUAGCACAAUUGCUCGGAGGGCAAUGAGAAAAUUAAGAAAGAGAGAUGUAUGAUGUUUUGGCAGCCUUUAAAUAUGCAAAACCUAAAUCUUUUUCUCUUACAGUACAUAACCAUAUGUCCUUGAACAGUAAGUGUGAUUGUGUGACAAGCCAAUGAGCUAGACUUCCCAGGACAGUUCUAAUGUCCCAUCUAUAGCAUUGUCAGCCCAUGUGUCCAAAAUUUGGGUUCAGAAAUUUCUCAAUUGCCACAGAUGUUUUCCCAGUCAAGAUGAAACACCUUCAAAUGAAAGUAGUUAGAACUUUACAUAACAAAUGUGGUGCUUUAUUAUUAUUAAUUAUUAUUAUUAUUAAUUAUUGUUAUGUACUUCAGUGUUCAUUAUUGAAACUACUGCAAUACCAUAUCAUAAAAAUCUGGGAUGGAUGUUCCAGCCAUCAUAAGGUCCAAAAAAAAAGUGUUAUUUUCCUGUUAGUGACAUGUAGUCCCUUUGUUCUAGUAGAAAAAAAGGUGCCUAGAGGUAGUAUAUAGAGUAAAUAUUGUUCCAUUAGCCUACUUCCUGCAGCUUCCAAUUUAUCCAAGGAAAUGUCUAUAACAAUUUUGUUACGUCUUUGUUCUCGUCAAUAGCAGAAGAAGUCCACAUUAUUGGGCCCAUUUUGCUUACAUCGACAAGAGAAAUGUCACGUGAUACUCAGGCCGAGCUUUCUCUUCCAUCAUACCACCUUCAAGGAAUGUCAAUAAACUCACUUUGGUAUGGC
rnacentral:lncRNA from 1 species